AUGGCAUAUGAUAAACACGCAAUAAAAGUAAGAAUGAGUAUGGACCUCAAAGAGAAGAAUCAGUACAUGCCAACCCAGUUUGGGAUGAUGAAGCUACGUCCAAGAAGUGAUGCCUGUUACAGCAGACCUAAUGUGGGUAUGAUGUCAGCUUUUCGAGUUGAAAGUGCUUUUGUCCCAUCAGAUAACAAUCCUGAUAAUAGCAAGAUAGUUCAGCAAGCAUUCCUGCAAGGGGGACAAUUUGUCAGAUGGAAAUAUGGAUUCCUGUGCCAAUGUAUUUCGUCAACCUUCUCAUGUUCAGCUGCAGCAUCCGUCAGUUACUGA
rnacentral:rRNA from 1 species